UAGGGAAUCUUCCGCAAUGGGCGAAAGCUUGACGGAGCAACGCCGCGUGAGUGAUGAAGGUCUUCGGAUCGUAAAACUCUGUUAUUAGGGAAGAACAAAUGUGUAAGUAACUAUGCACGUCUUGACGGUACCUAAUCAGAAAGCCACGGCUAACUACGUGCCAGCAGCCGCGGUAAUACGUAGGUGGCAAGCGUUAUCCGGAAUUAUUGGGCGUAAAGCGCGCGUAGGCGGUUUUUUAAGUCUGAUGUGAAAGCCCACGGCUCAACCGUGGGGGGACAUUGGAAACUAGACAACUUGAGUGCAGAAGAGGAAAGUGGAAUUCCAUGUGUAGCGGUGAAAUGCGCAGAGAUAUGGAGGAACACCAGUGGCGAAGGCGACUUUCUGGUCUGUAACUGACGCUGAUGUGCGAAAGCGUGGGGAUCAAACAGG
rnacentral:rRNA from 1 species